rnacentral:rRNA from 1 species
GAUGAACGCUGGCGGCGUGCCUAAUACAUGCGAGUCGAGCGAACGGACGAGAAGCUUGCUUCUCUGAUGUUAGCGGCGGACGGGUGAGUAACACGUGGAUAACCUACCUAUAAGACUGGGAUAACUUCGGGAAACCGGAGCUAAUACCGGAUAAUAUUUUGAACCGCAUGGUUCAAAAGUGAAAGACGGUCUUGCUGUCACUUAUAGAUGGAUCCGCGCUGCAUUAGCUAGUUGGUAAGGUAACGGCUUACCAAGGCAACGAUGCAUAGCCGACCUGAGAGGGUGAUCGGCCACACUGGAACUGAGACACGGUCCAGACUCCUACGGGAGGCAGCAGUAGGGAAUCUUCCGCAAUGGGCGAGAGCCUGACGGAGCAACGCCGCGUGAGUGAUGAAGGUCUUCGGAUCGUAAAACUCUGUUAUUAGGGAAGAACAUAUGUGUAAGUAACUGUGCACAUCUUGACGGUACCUAAUCAGAAAGCCACGGCUAACUACGUG